rnacentral:lncRNA from 1 species
ACAGAAGCAGCCAUUCCCUCAUUUUUGAGAUUUCAAUACAAAUCAGGCUUACAUUUACUUGGUCUUAUUGACAUGGCCACUAAUAAAAGUUCUGUUUUUCUUAUUACCUCCAGGCUGUCAUUGCAGUUUAAGCUCCCCAAGGGCAAAGAUGAUGUCCUGCCCAACUGAGAUUCCAGCAGCACUGGACAUGAGUGCUUUGUCCAAAGUGGACUCAAGCAGAGAGAGAGAGAGAGAGAGGGAACAGCCAUGCAGGAAAUCUGAGGCAGUGUCUCCUGGGUGCAGAACACAAAACAGCAAAGUAACAUCAACGCCAAAAGAAUAAUAAAUACAGAAAUAGAUAGAUAGAUAGAUAGAUAGAUAGAUAGAAAGAUAGAUAGAUAGAUAGAGAUAGACAUGGAAAAACACUGCUUUCAAAGAAUAUACUAAUGACAGUCUGAAGCCCCAGUAAAUAUCCUCCAAGGUUGUAUAUUUGUAUGUUUCCCUCAAAAAGAUGCUUUCUAAACUGCACAGCUGGCUGAAGGUCUUCAUCAAAUAAAAAUAGGGAGAAAAAAUUUCAUCCUUGGUCUUUCAGAGUGAGUUGGAAUACAAAAUAUCUUAAAUAGUCAUUACAGAAAAAAUUUCAAAAUGCAAAUUGAUAUUUCAGUUUUCACUGAAAUAAAGUUAAUCUCUAAAUAAAUGACUUGUAACAUUUUUAAGCAACAGAAUUCCCCCUCCUUUUUCUUUUUUUGAAGAAAUCCUGGCACUGGACCAAGAAAAAAUAAUGUAUAUAAAUGUAUGACUGGGUCACUUUGCUGUACAGUAGAAAUUGACAGAACACUGUAAAUCAAUCAUAAUAAGAAAAUAAAAAAGAGAGAGAGAGAGAGGCACCAGUGGGCUACUUAGAUGCCUAGCUUAGCGGCAGCUCAGAAUCCUCAGGAACUGCCUGGCUUGUAAAUCACUGUGCCAAAAGGGCAUGUCGAUUCUUUCUGAUGAAAGCUUAGAGCUGCCAAUGGAGGCCUGUCCAGUUUACUCUCUGGAACGAUGGUGAGCUUGAGGAAGAUGGUGAGUGGGAACUUAGCAGCAAUGGAGAGUGAUCACUAGCCAUGGGCAUUCCUCUUUCCAGAGACCCCCUGCAUGGAGGCAUAUCUAUUUCCGUGAGGCCUAGGAAUCCAAAUGUUCUUGAUAAUUCUACACAGGGCUUCCUCUUUCUUUCCUGGCAGCAGCUAUAUUUACAAAUGCUUCAUAUCUACUUGGAAGGAAAGCUCUUGUCCCUGUGUCAUAUCUUUGUGUGCACUUAUCCUUCUUUCCUCUCUCUUCUACCUUCCACUUUGAGGAACUUGGAAAAAAAUAUUCUAGAAGAAGAUCAGUGAAGCUUUUGGGGAAAACGGUAUGUGAGCCAAAGAGAAGAGAGGGAAGGUACACCGUCCUCCUAAUUAGGAAACAAUAUAUUAUUCCUUUUUUGGUGUAAUAGCUCCAAAAGUCCUGCCUCAAAGGAAAGAGAUGAAGAGAAGAGUGAAAACUUCUUCCUUUAGUCCAGAAAUAAGGAGUAGAAAAUUAAGACUGUUAUUGAUUAAUCAGAUUCUCUACUUUUGAAAAUUACAAUUAUGGCUUCAAUUACCCCAGCUCCUUUUAUUCAGAUUUCUUUUUGUCACUGUUUAAAACUGAUUUUUUGCAACAUUCUCAUGCUUUAAUGAAAAUUAUAGACUAUAAUUAAAUUGCUCCAAUGCUAUCAUUAUAUAGAUACCAGAUGAAUAAGAUUAGAGUAAACAAAGAUAUAGCUCUUAAAUUAAAAAUUAUUUUAGACAGAACUUUGUCCAAUUGCCUAAAUAUGACAAAUGUAACAAUACUGAAAAUCAAUGAUGCUACAGCUUUAAAUUGGUAAGAUCUUAAUCUUAACUAACACCAUGUUUAUAUGUAAGCAACCAUCUGGAUAAAAUGUUUAAAAUCCAAAAAAAAGUUAAAAAAAAGUCUGAAUCACUUUGUAUACACAAAGCCAAACACUUAGAUAUUUAAAAAUAUCUAGACUAAUGCAUAACAUACUAUCUUGAUAGACAAAUACUUAAAGAAACUUUUCAGUACAGAGGAGAGAUCUGUGUUUAUUGAAGGGAUUUAAUAGCAAGUGAAAUUUGAGUUUUGAUUUGAAAAGGAGCCCCAGCAUUUCUAAUUGGCAGCCAUGUGACCUUGGAUAAGUCAAUUAAAUCUAACAGGCAAUAAUUUUUCAACCUAUAGCAGGGGUAUAAUGAUAGCACCAUUUUGCGAUCUUUCUGAGGAUUCAGUUUGAAUGAAAAAAAAAAAUGGAAGACUACUUGGUGUCCCUCAAGAAAAAAAAUGAAAUGAUAAUUAUAUGACACAAUGAGGUGUCAGCUUAAGCUAUAUUGCUAAUAAUAUUGCAAAUAUAUAAGUAAGAUCAAUACAUUUGUACCCCCUAAACUUAUACAAUGUUAUAUGUAAAUUGUACCUCAAUAAAAAAAUACUGUAGGUCAUCAAAAAAAAUCACGUUCAACUAGAACCUCAGAAUGUGACUUUAUAGGUUCAAUUGUGUCAUUGCAAAAUUCCUAUGUUUAAGUCCUAAACACAAAUAUCUCAGAGUAUGAUCUUAGUAAGAAAUAGGGUCUUCUGAAGAUCCCAAUGCCACAAACGGAGAAGGACAUCUCAAAUGAAAGCCAGCUAGGAGAUUCUAGAAGGCUUGUGUUUCAAGUUUGGGAUUAUCUGCAUGAGAGAGCUAAAAUUAAAAAAGGGGGAAAUAUUAACUCCAUCAAUACUCUACAUGUGCAUGAUGAUAUAUUAUAUUGCAUUGAUACUUAAAUAAAGUUCCCAUCCUUAAAACUUUUGCAGAUUAGUCAGGAAAGGGAUAUGUAAUUCAAUAAUUUACAUUGCCUGGUGAGUGAUGUAACAGAAGCAUGCACAAAUAUAUAGGGGGACUUAAGAAAGGAGCAAAUUUCAUUGUCUAAAACAAAAUCAGGGAGUUCCUGUCAUGGCUCAGUGGUUAACAAAUCCGACUAGGAACCAUGAGGUUGUGGGUUCGAUCCCUGGCCUUGCUCAGUGGGUUAAGGAUCCAGCAUUGCCAUGAGCUGCGGUGUGGGCCGCAGACGCGGCUUGGAUCCUAUUAGACUCCUAUUAGACCCCUAGCCUGGGAACCUUCAUAUGCUGCAGGAGCAGCCCUAGGAAAAGGAAAAAAAAAAAAAAAAUCAAACUGAUAUAUAGAGGAAAGGGGGAUUACUCAACACGAUUUAGCUUCAGAAAACUCUAGGAACUAUCACAUAAUAUUUAGUAAAAACUAGAUAAGAUAAAAGUAUAUCUGAAAAAAUAAAACUAUUUUAUUUACAUCUCAAUUUUUUUGUUUUUGUUUUCUAUUUUUUCUGUUUUGUUAAGAGAGAGAGAGAGAGAGAAAGAAAGAAAGAAAGAAAGAAAGAAAGAAAGAAAGAAAGAAUAAAAAGAAAAAAAGAAAGAAAGAAAGAAAGAGAGAGAGAAAGAAAGCG